rnacentral:rRNA from 1 species
UACGGGGGGAGCAAGCGUUGUUCGGAUUUACUGGGCGUAAAGGGCGCGUAGGCGGCGCAACAAGUCACUUGUGAAAUCUCCGGGCUUAACCCGGAGCGGUCAAGUGAUACUGUCGUGCUAGAGUGCGGAAGGGGCUACUGGAAUUCUCGGUGUAGCGGUGAAAUGCGUAGAUAUCGAGAGGAACACCUGCGGCGAAGGCGGGUAGCUGGGCCGACACUGACGCUGAGGCACGAAAGCGUGGGGAGCAAACAGG